rnacentral:misc_RNA from 1 species
GAAAAAAGAAAAAAAAAUUUAAGUUACUAAUUAAGAGUUUUUGUUUUUUUUAAUUCAAAUCAUUUGUGUUUUUUCAUUAAUUGAUUGAUAAUGGGUUUUCUUCACAAGCUAUGGGACGAUACACUUGCCGGCCCGGCACCGGAAUCGGGGUUAGGAAAACUCCGCAAGUAUAAUUCGUUCGCCGGACGUUCUACCUGCAGUGCUCCGCCGUCUCCCACCAAGCUCGGCCUUCACCAUCACGGCGGCGGCGCUAGUGACGAUCUGAUGCCGGUCUCCCGGAGCAUUACGAUACUCCGUAGCAACUCAACCUGUGGCCGUUCUGGCAAUUCUACGCCGGAUUCUGGAUCUGCUCCAUCUUCUCCGGCGUUUUCUAGCGCUCCAAAUUCACCAUUUGCACCAAGCACGCCACGGAGGAAAUACAAGAAGCAAUUAAAGGGAAAAGCGAAUAUUGAACCUUGUUCUGCCAACUAUGAUUGG